UACGAAGGGGGCUAGCGUUGCUCGGAAUCACUGGGCUUAAAGGGCGCGUAGGCGGGUUGCCAAGUCCGGGGUGAAAGCCUCCAGCUUAACUGGAGAAGUGCCUUGGAUACUGGUGAUCUCGAGGGAGGUAGGGGCAUGUGGAACUUCCGGUGGAGCGGUGAAAUGCGUAGAGAUCGGAAAGAACACCAACGGCGAAAGCACUCUGCUGGGCCGACACUGACACUGAGAGACGAAAGCUAGGGGAGCGAAUGGG
rnacentral:rRNA from 1 species